rnacentral:rRNA from 1 species
UAGGGAAUAUUGGACAAUGGGCGCAAGCCUGAUCCAGCCAUGCCGCGUGAGUGAAGAAGGCCCUCGGGUUGUAAAGCUCUUUUGUCCGGAAAGAAAAGCUCUGGGUUAAUACCCCGAAGUCCUGACGGUACCGGAAGAAUAAGCACCGGCUAACUUCGUGCCAGCAGCCGCGGUAAUACGAAGGGUGCAAGCGUUACUAGGAAUUACUGGGCGUAAAGCGUGCGUAGGUGGUUCGUUAAGUCUGAUGUGAAAGCCCUGGGCUCAACCUGGGAAUGGCAUUGGUUACUGGCGGGCUAGAGUGCGGUAGAGGGCAGUGGAAUUCCCGGUGUAGCAGUGAAAUGCGUAGAGAUCGGGAGGAACAUCUGUGGCGAAGGCGACUGCCUGGACCAGCACUGACACUGAGGCACGAAAGCGUGGGGAGCAAACAGG